GACGAACGCUGGCGGCGUGCUUAACACAUGCAAGUCGAACGGAAAGGCCCUGCUUUUGUGGGGUGCUCGAGUGGCGAACGGGUGAGUAACACGUGAGUAACCUGCCCUUGACUUUGGGAUAACUUCAGGAAACUGGGGCUAAUACCGGAUAGGAGCUCCUGCUGCAUGGUGGGGGUUGGAAAGUUUCGGCGGUUGGGGAUGGACUCGCGGCUUAUCAGCUUGUUGGUGAGGUAGUGGAUUACCAAGGCUUUGACGGGUAGCCGGCCUGAGAGGGUGACCGGCCACAUUGGGACUGAGAUACGGCCCAGACUCCUACGGGAGGCAGCAGUGGGGAAUAUUGCACAAUGGGCGGAAGCCUGAUGCAGCAACGCCGCGUGCGGGAUGACGGCCUUCGGGUUGUAAACCGCUUUCGCCUGUGACGAAGCGUGAGUGACGGUAAUGGGUAAAGAAGCACCGGCUAACUACGUG
rnacentral:rRNA from 1 species